rnacentral:rRNA from 1 species
CCUACGGGAGGCAGCAGUGGGGAAUAUUGCACAAUGGGGGAAACCCUGAUGCAGCGACGCCGCGUGAGUGAAGAAGUAUCUCGGUAUGUAAAGCUCUAUCAGCAGGGAAGAAACCCACCCUCCGGGGUGGCUGACGGUACCUGACUAAGAAGCCGCGGCUAACUACGUGCCAGCAGCCGCGGUAAUACGUAGGGGGCAAGCGUUAUCCGGCGUUACUGGGUGUAAAGGGAGCGUAGGUGGCAAGGCAAGUCAGAUGUGAAAACCCGGGGCCCAACCCCGGGAGUGCAUUUGAAACUGGCUGGCUAGAGUGCAGGAGAGGUAAGUGGAAUUCCUGGUGUAGCGGUGAAAUGCAUAGAUAUUAGGAGGAACACCAGUGGCGAAGGCGGCUUACUGGACUGUAACUGACACUGAGGCUCGAAAGCGUGGGGAGCAAACAGGAUUAGAUACCCCUGUAGUC